GAUGAACGCUAGCGAUAGGCUUAACACAUGCAAGUCGAGGGGCAGCAUGGUCUUAGCUUGCUAAGACUGAUGGCGACCGGCGCACGGGUGCGUAACGCGUAUGCAACUUGCCUCACAGAGGGGGAUAACCCGUCGAAAGACGGACUAAUACCGCGUACACUUGGGAUAGGGCAUCCUGACCCAAGGAAAUGAAAUUCGCUGUGAGAUAGGCAUGCGUCCCAUUAGCUAGUUGGUGAGGUAACGGCUCACCAAGGCGACGAUGGGUAGGGGAACUGAGAGGUUGAACCCCCACACUGGUACUGAGACACGGACCAGACUCCUACGGGAGGCAGCAGUGAGGAAUAUUGGUCAAUGGGCGAGAGCCUGAACCAGCCAAGUCGCGUGAAGGAUGACUGUCUUAUGGAUUGUAAACUUCUUUUAUACGGGAAUAACAAGAGUCACGUGUGGCUCCCUGCAUGUACCGUAUGAAUAAGCAUCGGCUAGCUCCGUG
rnacentral:rRNA from 1 species